CCAGGGGAGCUGAGGGCACGCCGCGUGAACGAUGAAGGUUUUCGGAUCGUAAAGUUCUGUUAUGAGGGAAGAACACGUGCCGUUCGAAUAGGGCGGCACCUUGCACGGUACCUCACGAGAAAGCCCCGGUAUAACUACGUGCCACCAGCCGCGGUAAU
rnacentral:rRNA from 1 species